GAAGUUUUGCUUUUUUUGUUCCUUUUAACAAGUCAUUUUCCUUCUUUAUAGGCUGCCCUACUCCACCUCAAAGCAGAAGAAGGUUCUUCCUAAGUCCUAAAACUAUGAGGAGUCCUUUUGCUUUGCGAGGCAACAAAGUUCAAUCCGUAGAUAGCAAUGGUCUUUCAGAUGAAGAAGCAGGGUCCUUGAAGGGAUCAGAGAAAGAGCAAGAUCCAAAAAAGUCGAGCCAAAACGAUUUGUAUAUGCGUUUGGGACUGUUAUUGGGAGAGGGAGGGCCUACUCCGCUGCGUCCAUUUCGCAGUGGUCCUCAGGCUUCAAGCCGAGGUGGUGAUUCUGUCUGCUCGCUUACCAGCCUAGAAGCCAACACCCUUGCCUCAGACAACACGAGCCCAAUUUCAACGUUAACAGGCUCCUCAGAGGUGGAGGUCCACUCCCACAGCCAUGAAGAGAAGAAACAGCCUCUGACUGACAGUGUUGGAUCUCUGAUGUCAAUGUCCAGCCAUAGUUGCUCGUCCAGCCCUCUUGCCAGGAGGCACUCUAUCACGAGUAAGUAUCCUAUCUCUAGAGUGUGACUUGCAGUUGUGCAUGCAAAAUUAAGUGCGUGAGCAGUUUAAUUUUUCCUCUCAUCUUUUCUAUCCGUCAUACAGCAUUAAUGAUGUUUACUACUGUCAGACAUUAAUUCUCUUUAUUUUUCAGUUCUUUUCUUACUUCUUUUUUUGCUCUAUCUUCCUCCUCUCAUAGGAUGGAUUAAAAUCUGAAAUUAAAAGUGAUUAUCCUUGUACCAUUUCAGUACUUCAGUAGUGAAUACAAUCGAAUUUAUGCUAGGAAGAGUUCUUAAAUUCCUCCACCAAAAACGUGUGAUUCAGGGCAUUAAUAAUAAUUUUUCGGUGUUGAUAUCAUUGUCACCUGUGGCUUUACAUGCUUUGAUCACUCUUUAGUUUAUUUUGAAUGCAAUUUUCUCAUCAUCAGUUCUUUAUCUUUCUUUUCGGGGGGGGGGGGGGGGGCUACAACCUUUCCUUCAUUUGCUUUGAAUAAUUUCAAAACAUAGGUACAGUUUCUCAGUUAUGGUUCUCUCAAUUCUAGAAGCCAAUAUUUCAACUGCUUGUGGUCCCUUCAAUCCAAGUUAUUUCUUGCUUAAAUGAAAAUCUCUCUCAAGUUAGGAUCUGUUUCCACAGAUCAUGAUUAUAAUGAGGUCCAUAAUCAAUAAAAUAAUGGUUCUAAGGAAUGAAUGACAUGCAUUUUUUUUUAAUUUUACUACUGUUCGUGCAUGGAAUGAAAAAUUUAAAGUUUGCGAAGCAUGCUUUUAUUGGGUUUCUUCUCCCUUUUAAAUUAAAUUCCCCCAACCCCCAUCAUCAAUGAAGGAUUUAGUAUAGUUAUGGCAGUAGUUUGUCUACUAUCUAGGGUGGUUUUUAUUGUGUUAAUCUAAAUUUUAUUGAUUACAAAAAAAUGUAUAUAUUUGGUAAUAUUACAUUCUUCCAUUUCCUAAGUUUCCCAAACCAUUAUUGGACCUUUCUGUUCGUAAUUUUUUACUCUCCAAAGUGGAAAAAUAUUGUGCACCUGAAACAUCAAUGAAAAAUAUCGUAUUUCCUCUCCCCAGAGAAUUCAAGUAAAGCAAAUCUACCCAAAAAAAUAUAUCUCCUGAUACACAAGUUUGAUUUUGUCAACCCUCUUGCUCUUUUUGUAUAACAUUCUUCUCUUACCCUUUUCCUAAUCAUGAUUUCAGCAGUUAAUACUUCUAAUAUUGCUUUUUAAAUAAUUUUGCCUUUUGUGUGUGUGCAUGGUUAGAUUUACAGCGACAUGAUUACCAUGAAGAUCAGAAUGUGAACAGGUAUUCCAGGC
rnacentral:lncRNA from 1 species